rnacentral:ncRNA from 1 species
AUGAAAGUGAUGACCGGGGCGAGUAAAUGUGCUUGGCCUGCGUCAGGGAGGGAAGGCCGGUGACUGAAAGCUUUCCUUGCAGGCGGACGUUGAAAAACACCCGGGAGCGGCCCCCGAAAGUGUGAUUAAGCAUUAGUAGGCCGGCCCGGUAACCUCCGUUAUCAGGUUGUAAAAGGGAUAACUAAGGUUAUCCGAAAAAGGGUGGCACCACGGAUGAAAAAUCCGUCCCUGGC